GCACCUAUAGCUCAAUUGGAUAGAGCACUUGGCUACGGACCAGGGGGUUAGGGGUUCGACUCCUCUUAGGUGCGCCA
rnacentral:tRNA from 1 species